rnacentral:rRNA from 1 species
UACGUAGGGUGCAAGCGUUGUCCGGAAUUAUUGGGCGUAAAGGGCGCGUAGGCGGCGCGGAAAGUCGUCGGUGAAAGCUCGGGGCUCAACCCUGAGUCUGCCGGUGAUACUCCUGCGCUCGAGCUCACUAGAGGCAGAUGGAAUUCCGGGUGUAGCGGUGGAAUGCGUAGAGAUCCGGAAGAACACCGGUGGCGAAGGCGGUCUGCUGGGGUGAGGCUGACGCUGAUGCGCGACAGCGUGGGGAGCAAACAGG